UACGAAGGGGGCUAGCGUUGCUCGGAAUCACCGGGCGUAAAGCGCACGUAGGCGGCUUCUUAAGUCAGGGGUGAAAUCCUGGAGCUCAACUCCAGAACUGCCUUUGAUACUGGCGAUCUUGAGUCCGGGAGAGGUGAGUGGAACUGCGAGUGUAGAGGUGAAAUUCGUAGAUAUUCGCAAGGAACACCAGUGGCGAAGGCGGCUCACUGGCCCGGUACUGACGCUGAGGUGCGAAAGCGUGGGGAGCAAACAGG
rnacentral:rRNA from 1 species